rnacentral:rRNA from 1 species
CUGGUGCCUAGCAGCGCGGUAAUUCCAGCUCCAAUAGCGUAUAUUAAAGUUGUUGCAGUUAAAAAGCUCGUAGUUGAAUUUCGGGGGUUAGUAGAUUGGUCGUGCCACUGGUAUGCACUGGUCUUACUGGCUCCUCCUUCCUGAUGAACCGUAAUGCCAUUAAUUUGGUGUUGCGGGGAAUUUGGACUGUUACUUUGAAAAAAUUAGAGUGUUUAAAGCAAGCUAACGCUUGAAUACAUUAGCAUGGAAUAAUGAAAUAGGACGUUCGAUCCUAUUUUGUUAGGUUUCUAGGGAUUGACGUAAUGAUUAAUAGGGAUAUUGGGGGCAUUAGUAUUCAAUUGUCAGAGGUGAAAUUCUUGGAUUUAUUGAAGACUAAACUACUGCGAAAGCAUUUGCCAAGGAUGUUUUCAUUAAUCAAGAACGAAAGUUAGGGGGAUCGAAGACGAUCAGAUACCGUCGUAGUCUUAACCAUAAACUAUGCCGACUAGGGAUCGGAUGAUGUUAAUUUUUUUAAUGACUCAUUCGGCGCCUUACG